CCUACGGGGGGCUGCAGUAAGGAAUAUUGGUCAAUGGAGGCAACUCUGAACCAGCCAUGCCGCGUGAAGGAUGAAGGCCCUCCGGGUUGUAAACUUCUUUUAUGUGGGAAGAAAUGCAGGCAUUCUUGCCUGUUUGACGGUACCAUAGGAAUAAGCACCGGCUAACUCCGUGCCAGCAGCCGCGGUAAUACGGAGGGUGCAAGCGUUAUCCGGAUUCACUGGGUUUAAAGGGUGCGUAGGCGGGCAGGUAAGUCAGUGGUGAAAUCCCGGAGCUU
rnacentral:rRNA from 1 species